GACGAACGCUGGUGGCGUGCUUAACACAUGCAAGUCGAACGGAAAGGCCCUGCUUUUGUGGGGUGCUCGAGUGGCGAACGGGUGAGUAACACGUGAGUAACCUGCCCUUGACUUUGGGAUAACUUCAGGAAACUGGGGCUAAUACCGGAUAGGAGCUCCUGCUGCAUGGUGGGGGUUGGAAAGUUUCGGCGGUUGGGGAUGGACUCGCGGCUUAUCAGCUUGUUGGUGGGGUAGUGGCUUACCAAGGCUUUGACGGGUAGCCGGCCUGAGAGGGUGACCGGCCACAUUGGGACUGAGAUACGGCCCAGACUCCUACGGGAGGCAGCAGUGGGGAAUAUUGCACAAUGGGCGGAAGCCUGAUGCAGCAACGCCGCGUGCGGGAUGACGGCCUUCGGGUUGUAAACCGCUUUCGCCUGUGACGAAGCGUGAGUGACGGUAAUGGGUAAAGAAGCACCGGCUAACUACGUGCCAGCAGCCGCGGUGAUACGUAGGGUGCGAGCGUUGUCCGGAUUUAUUGGGCGUAAAGGGCUCGUAGGUGGUUGAUCGCGUCGGAAGUGUAAUCUUGGGGCUUAACCCUGAGCGUGCUUUCGAUACGGGUUGACUUGAGGAAGGUAGGGGAGAAUGGAAUUCCUGGUGGAGCGGUGGAAUGCGCAGAUAUCAGGAGGAACACCAGUGGCGAAGGCGGUUCUCUGGGCCUUUCCUGACGCUGAGGAGCGAAAGCGUGGGGAGCGAACAGGCUUAGAUACCCUGGUAGUCCACGCUGUAAACGGUGGGUACUAGGUGUGGGGUCCAUUCCACGGGUUCCGUGCCGUAGCUAACGCUUUAAGUACCCCGCCUGGGGAGUACGGCCGCAAGGCUAAAACUCAAAGGAAUUGACGGGGCCCCGCACAAGCGGCGGAGCAUGCGGAUUAAUUCGAUGCAACGCGUAGAACCUUACCUGGGUUUGACAUGGAUCGGGAGUGCUCAGAGAUGGGUGUGCCUCUUUUGGGGUCGGUUCACAGGUGGUGCAUGCCUGUCGUCAGCUCGUGUCGUGAGAUGUUGGGUUAAGUCCCGCAACGAGCGCAACCCUUGUUCACUGUUGCCAGCACGUUAUGGUGGGGACUCAGUGGAGACCGCCGGGGUCAACUCGGAGGAAGGUGGGGAUGACGUCAAGUCAUCAUGCCCCUUAUGUCCAGGGCUUCACGCAUGCUACAAUGGCUGGUACAGAGAGUGGCGAGCCUGUGAGGGUGAGCGAAUCUCGGAAAGCCGGUCUCAGUUCGGAUUGGGGUCAGCAACUCGACCUCAUGAAGUCGGAGUCGCUAGUAAUCGCAGAUCAGCAACGCUGCGGUGAAUACGUUCCCGGGGCU
rnacentral:rRNA from 1 species